GAGCGGUAGAGAGGAGCUUGCUUCUCUUGAGAGCGGCGGACGGGUGAGUAAUGCCUAGGAAUCUGCCUGGUAGUGGGGGAUAACGUUCGGAAACGGACGCUAAUACCGCAUACGUCCUACGGGAGAAAGCAGGGGACCUUCGGGCCUUGCGCUAUCAGAUGAGCCUAGGUCGGAUUAGCUAGUUGGUGGGGUAAUGGCUCACCAAGGCGACGAUCCGUAACUGGUCUGAGAGGAUGAUCAGUCACACUGGAACUGAGACACGGUCCAGACUCCUACGGGAGGCAGCAGUGGGGAAUAUUGGACAAUGGGCGAAAGCCUGAUCCAGCCAUGCCGCGUGUGUGAAGAAGGUCUUCGGAUUGUAAAGCACUUUAAGUUGGGAGGAAGGGCCAUUACCUAAUACGUGAUGGUUUUGACGUUACCGACAGAAUAAGCACCGGCUAACUCUGUGCCAGCAGCCGCGGUAAUACAGAGGGUGCAAGCGUUAAUCGGAAUUACUGGGCGUAAAGCGCGCGUAGGUGGUUUGUUAAGUUGGAUGUGAAAUCCCCGGGCUCAACCUGGGAACUGCAUUCAAAACUGACUGACUAGAGUAUGGUAGAGGGUGGUGGAAUUUCCUGUGUAGCGGUGAAAUGCGUAGAUAUAGGAAGGAACACCAGUGGCGAAGGCGACCACCUGGACUGAUACUGACACUGAGGUACGAAAGCGUGGGGAGCAAACAGGAUUAGAUACCCUGGUAGUCCACGCCGUAAACGAUGUCAACUAGCCGUUGGGAGCCUUGAGCUUUUAGUGGCGCAGCUAACGCAUUAAGUUGACCGCCUGGGGAGUACGGCCGCAAGGUUAAAACUCAAAUGAAUUGACGGGGGCCCGCACAAGCGGUGGAGCAUGUGGUUUAAUUCGAAGCUACGCGAAGAACCUUACCAGGCCUUGACAUCCAAUGAACUUUCUAGAGAUAGAUUGGUGCCUUCGGGAACAUUGAGACAGGUGCUGCAUGGCUGUCGUCAGCUCGUGCCGUAAGGUGUU
rnacentral:rRNA from 1 species